rnacentral:lncRNA from 1 species
AAACUCCCCGCUUGGCGGGUAGGAACCAGCAGCUGGAGCCAGAGGAAGUGAGGCUGGGACAGAGCAAGCAGCUGCUGCUUCUCCCCGGAAAGAAGGCUCGUGCCAUGUGGACAUCUACAAUAAAAUGGGUUAGUGGUUUUUAUAUUCAGAAUCGGGGCGGAGGGGGCACAAUCAGAUUGCCUCUGUUAGGGGUGGCUGCCUGCCUGCCUGACUCUAUGUGAUAUGCCAGUGGCCUUGGUUUCUCUGGAGGUCUGGGUGGAUGGAGUCUGGAUUGAUCCUGGAUGUUAAUUUGGUUUCUCACUUUGGCAGGGAGGUGGCUAAUGAGGUGUUCACAGCCGCAGAGACAGUGGGAGGGGGUGGUUUUAGCUGCUCGUGGGCUGACAGCUGCUUUGGAGAGGAUUUGGAUGCCACCUCCGAUAGGUCACCACAGGUCAUCUUAUCCUUCCUACGGUCUCCAGCAGCUUCUUCCUCCUUUGCUGACAAUCAGCCAGACAGGCAACUUGACCUCCUCUGUCUCCUGCUGGCCCUGCCGGCAGGGAGAUUCCAGAGUCAUCCCUCCCUCCCUCCCUAUCCUUCCCGCUGAGUCACCACACCUCCCGGUCAGGUGAUCCUCCCCUGGGCCCUUCUGAGAGCACCUUGACCUAUAUUCCGAACUCCGUGACGGUAGAUUGUAAUUGUCCCGAGACAAGGCCCGCCAGGCAGCGGGCACGGUGCCCUGGUAGCCCCGGCUGCAGACAGACGCCCCGGGCAGCGGGAGGGGCGCUCCCUCCCCCGGAAGCCAGCAGCGAGAGGCCUGGAAAUGGAAAGUUAAGAGGCUGGAGGCUGUGUGCAGGCGGGUGGCAGAGGAGGGUGGUGGCAAGCUGAGUCAGCUGGGAAAGCCGACAGCUAGCCACUGGGAGCUGCAGGCUCACCCCUGCCCCUCCCCAACCCCCUCUCUGAGGGAUGCCAGCUCAAGGCCAGAUGCGGGACAAACGCCAUUGUGGCUGGCGACAUGACCGCCCACCCGAAGGGGAGAAGUGAGUUAAGAUGUCAAUAACGGGACAAACCUUGAUGUUUCAUCUGGUCAGUCAGCCUAGGAAAACACACACAGGGGGCAAGCUGUCAUCCCUACGUUACCCACAGAAUGGCCUCUACGUGUCUUGUGUAUGGGUUCUUUGUGCAAUCCUGUGCAGUCUUUGUGUCUUCUGAAAGAGAGGGCAGUGGGGGUGCUGUGGGAAAAGGGACUGAGAGAGGAGUCAGAGUCAAACUUGAAGCCCCGUCCCCGGGCAUAGUGCCUGAAAAAGGUGACCAAUAGCCAAAGAUCACAGUCCCCUUUGAGUUGGAAAGAGCUCUGAAUUCAGAGGCAUUCUUAAAAUCUCCCUUCAACAGCCAGCAGUACUGUGUGUGACCUUACAAAGUUAAGUCCAUCAGUCCAGUGGGGAUUUUAGUAGACUGCUUCUACUGAAUCUCAGGGUCCACAUUAAAUCCGAUGACUAGAGUAAGGUUUAUUCGUUAUGUAUAAGGGUGCAUACCUGAGCCCGCACUUGGUGGUACAGGCUAGGAAUCUCAGGUAACUGGUAGGCUGAGGCAGGGUGAUCAAAACUUCAAAACCAGCCUGGGCAACUUAGUGAGACCUUUUGUUCAAAAUAAAAAGCAAAAUAAACAAGUAAAAAAUAAAUAAAUAAAUAAAUAAAUAAAUAAAUAAAUAAAUAAAUAAAUAAAUAAAAUGAGGAAGGGCUAGAGAGAUAGCUAAGAAGCUAAGCAUUGGCUGCUUUUCCAAAGGGACACAGAUUUGAUUCCCAGUAACCACUUAACAUUACAUCAUUUCCAAAGGUGUUUCUUCAGGCCUCUGGGAUACCAGGUACAUGCACGAGGCAUAGACAUACGUGUAGACAAAAAUGCCCAAACACAUAAAUC